UACAGAGGGUGCAAGCGUUAAUCGGAAUUACUGGGCGUAAAGCGUGCGUAGACGGUCAUGUAAGUCGGGUGUGAAAGCCCCGGGCUCAACCUGGGAAUUGCAUUCGAGACUGCAUGGCUAGGAUGCGGAAGAGGGAAGCGGAAUUUCCGGUGUAGCGGUGAAAUGCGUAGAUAUUGGGAGGAACACCAGUGGCGAAGGCGGCUACCUGGACCGGUUCUGACGCUGAGGCGCGAAAGCGUGGGUAGCAAACAGG
rnacentral:rRNA from 1 species